rnacentral:rRNA from 1 species
UGCAGUCGAACGAUGAAGCACCUUCGGGUGUGAAUUAGCGGCGAACGGGUGAGGAACACGUGAGAAAUCUGCCUUCAACUCUGGGAUAACUCCGUGAAAACGGGGCUAAUACCGGAUAUGAGAUCUACAGGCAUCUGUGGAUCUGGAAAGUUUUUCGGUUGAAGAUGAUCUCGCGGCCUAUCAGCUUGUUGGUGAGGUAAUGGCUCACCAAGGCGACGACGGGUAGCCGGCCUGAGAGGGCGACCGGCCACACUGGGACUGAGACACGGCCCAGACUCCUACGGGAGGCAGCAGUGGGGAAUAUUGGGCAAUGGAGGAAACUCUGACCCAGCGACGCCGCGUGCGGGAUGAAGGCCUUCGGGUUGUAAACCGCUUUCAGCAGGGAAGAAGCGAAAGUGACGGUACCUGCAGAAGAAGCACCGGCUAACUAUGUGCCAGCAGCCGCGGUAAUACAUAGGGUGCAAGCGUUGUCCGGAAUUAUUGGGCGUAAAGAGCUCGUAGGUGGUUCGUCACGUCGGAUGUGAAACUCUGGGGCUUAACCCCAGACCUGCAUUCGAUACGGGCGAGCUUGAGUAUGGUAGGGGAGUCUGGAAUUCCUGGUGUAGCGGUGGAAUGCGCAGAUAUCAGGAGGAACACCAAUGGCGAAGGCAGGACUCUGGGCCAUUACUGACACUGAGGAGCGAAAGCGUGGGGAGCGAACAGGAUUAGAUACCCUGGUAGUCCACGCCGUAAACGGUGGGCACUAGUUGUGGGGACCUUCCACGGUCUCUGC